rnacentral:rRNA from 1 species
GAUGAACGCUGGCGGCGUGCCUAAUACAUGCAAGUCGAGCGAACAGAUGAGGAGCUUGCUCCUCUGACGUUAGCGGCGGACGGGUGAGUAACACGUGGAUAACCUACCUAUAAGACUGGGAUAACAUCGGGAAACCGGAGCUAAUACCGGAUAAUAUAUUGAACCGGAUGGUUCAAUCGUGAAAGACGGUUUUGCUGUCACUUAUAGAUGGAUCCGAGCCGGAUUCGCUGGUUGGGAAGGUAAAGGCUUACCCAGGCAACGAGGCAAAGACGACCCGAGAGGAUGAUCGGCAGCUCGGCAGAGAGGACGCGCUCCAAACCCGUACGGGAGGCACGAGUAGGAAACCUACGGCAAGGGGCAAUAGCCUAACUGAGCAACGCCGCGUGAGUGAGGAAGGUCUACGCAGCGUAAAACUCGGUUAUCAGAGAAGAACAAAGGUGUAUUUACCGAUGCAAGUCUGGACGUUACCGAAGCAGAAAGCCACGCCAAACUACGU